GACGGGGGGGGCAAGUGUUCUUCGGAAUGACUGGGCGUAAAGGGCACGUAGGCGGUGAAUCGGGUUGAAAGUGAAAGUCGCCAAAAAACUGGCGGAAUGCUCUCGAAACCAAUUCACUUGGGUGAGACAGAGGAGAGUGGAAUUUCGUGUGUAGGGGUGAAAUCCGCAAAUCUACGAAGGAAGGCCAAAAGCGAAGGCAGCUCUCUGGGUCCCUACCGACGCUGGGGUGCGAAAGCAUGGGGGAGCGAACAGG
rnacentral:rRNA from 1 species